rnacentral:lncRNA from 1 species
UUUCUGGGUGUCUCUCUGCCCCCGGAAUCAUCCUUUUCUAAAGGCACACUUUGUAAAGGUAAGAGGGCUUCUGAGCAAACCUGAGGUCUGGGAAGGUACAAGCUGACAGGGGUAUCUGGGUUUGUCCCACAUCUGAAUGAAACAGUGCUGUUUGUUGGAGUCAAUAUGUCCACAUCUGUUUGCUUAUGAGUCCUGCUUUGUACCCAACUUUCCUUGGCAGUCUUGGUUAAUUCCCUCUGUAUCAGUAAGGUUGCACAGGUUCCUAUCAGCUUCAGCAUCUCCUGUCUCAAAUGUCACUACUCAUAGCACAUUUUUCUUUAGAACAUGCUCAU